GUUGUUGGGUAGGGGAGCGUUCUGUAAGCCUGUGAAGGUGUGCUGUGAGGCAUGCUGGAGGUAUCAGAAGUGCGAAUGCUGACAUAAGUAACGAUAAAGCGGGUGAAAAGCCCGCUCGCCGGAAGACCAAGGGUUCCUGUCCAACGUUAAUCGGGGCAGGGUGAGUCGACCCCUAAGGCGAGGCCGAAAGGCGUAGUCGAUGGGAAACAGGUUAAUAUUCCUGUACUUGGUGUUACUGCGAAGGGGGGACGGAGAAGGCUAUGUUGGCCGGGCGACGGUUGUCCCGGUUUAAGCGUGUAGGCUGGUUUUCCAGGCAAAUCCGGAAAAUCAAGGCUGAGGCGUGAUGACGAGGCACUACGGUGCUGAAGCAACAAAUGCCCUGCUUCCAGGAAAAGCCUCUAAGCAUCAGGUAACAUCAAAUCGUACCCCAAACCGACACAGGUGGUCAGGUAGAGAAUACCAAGGCGCUUGAGAGAACUCGGGUGAAGGAACUAGGCAAAAUGGUGCCGUAACUUCGGGAGAAGGCACGCUGAUAUGUAGGUGA
rnacentral:rRNA from 1 species